rnacentral:rRNA from 1 species
UAUAAGAGGUCCCGCCUGCCCUGUGACCAUGUGUUUAACGGCCGCGGUAUUUUGACCGUGCAAAGGUAGCGCAAUCACUUGUCUUUUAAAUGAAGACCUGUAUGAAUGGCACGACGAGGGCUUAACUGUCUCCUUUUUCCAGUCAAUGAAAUUGAUCUCCCCGUGCAGAAGCGGGGAUAACCUCAUAAGACGAGAAGACCCUGUGGAGCUUUAGACACUAAAGCAGACCAUGUCAAACACUCCCUCCUAAGGAACAGAACUAGUUGUAACCCUGCCCUAAUGUCUUUGGUUGGGGCGACCUCGGAGGAACACAAAACCCCCGCGCAGAACAGGAGCACACUGCUCCCAAAACCAAGAGCUACCGCUCUAAGUAACAGAACUUCUGACUAUCAGGAUCCGGCCCACGCCGAUCAACGAACCGAGUUACCCCAGGGAUAACAGCGCAAUCCUCUUUUAGAGCCCAUAUCGACAAGGGGGUUUACGACCUCGAUGUUGGAUCAGGACAUCCUAAUGGUGCAGCCGCUAUUAAGGGUUCGUUUGUUCAACGAUUAAAGUCCU